rnacentral:rRNA from 1 species
ACGCUGGCGGUAUGCCUAAGACAUGCAAGUCGCACGGACUGUUUCGGCAGUUAGUGGCGGACGGGUGAGUAACACGUAGGUGACCUACCCCAAAGUCUGGGACAACUAGGAGAAAUCUUAGCUAAUCCUGGAUGUGAACCUCAGCUGUGGCUGAUGUUUAAAGCUUCGGCGCUUUGGGAUGGGCCUGCGGCGCAUCAGGUAGUUGGUGGGGUAACGGCCCACCAAGCCGACGACGCGUAGCUGGUCUGAGAGGACGACCAGCCACAGGGGUACUGAGACACGGACCCCACUCCUACGGGAGGCAGCAGUUAGGAAUCUUCCGCAAUGGGCGAAAGCCUGACGGAGCGAUACCGCUUGAAGGACGAAGCCCUUCGGGGUGUAAACUUCUGAACUCGGGACGAUAAUGACGGUACCGAGGUAAUAGCACCGGCUAACUCCGUGCCAGCAGCCGCGGUAAUACGGAGGGUGCGAGCGUUACCCGGAUUUACUGGGUGUAAAGGGCGUGUAG